rnacentral:rRNA from 1 species
UACAGAGGGUGCAAGCGUUGUUCGGAAUUAUUGGGCGUAAAGGGCGCGUAGGCGGUGCGGUAAGUCUGCAGUGAAAUCUCUGGGCUCAACUCAGAGUCUGCUGUAGAAACUGCCGUGCUUGAGUGUGGGAGAGGUGAGUGGAAUUCCGAGUGUAGAGGUGAAAUUCGUAGAUAUCGGGAGGAACACCUGUGGCGAAAGCGGCUCACUGGACCACAACUGACGCUGAGGCGCGAAAGCUAGGGGAGCAAACAGG